rnacentral:rRNA from 1 species
AGCAGUCGCCGCGGUAACACGUAGGUGGCAAGCGUUGUCCGGAAUUAUUGGGCGUAAAGCGCGCGCAGGUGGUUUAAUAAGUCUGAUGUGAAAGCCCACGGCUCAACCGUGGAGGGUCAUUGGAAACUGUUAAACUUGAGUGCAGGAGAGAAAAGUGGAAUUCCUAGUGUAGCGGUGAAAUGCGUAGAGAUUAGGAGGAACACCAGUGGCGAAGGCGGCUUUUUGGCCUGUAACUGACACUGAGGCGCGAAAGCGUGGGGAGCAAACAGGAUUAGAUACCCGGGUAGUCCCUGUCUCUUAUAC